GGCCUAACACAUGCAAGUCGAGCGGUAACAGGGGUAGCUUGCUACCCGCUGACGAGCGGCGGACGGGUGAGUAAUGCAUAGGAAUCUGCCCGGUAGUGGGGGAUAACCUGGGGAAACCCAGGCUAAUACCGCAUACGUCCUACGGGAGAAAGGGGGCUCCGGCUCCCGCUAUUGGAUGAGCCUAUGUCGGAUUAGCUAGUUGGUGAGGUAAUGGCUCACCAAGGCGACGAUCCGUAGCUGGUCUGAGAGGAUGAUCAGCCACAUCGGGACUGAGACACGGCCCGAACUCCUACGGGAGGCAGCAGUGGGGAAUAUUGGACAAUGGGCGAAAGCCUGAUCCAGCCAUGCCGCGUGUGUGAAGAAGGCCCUCGGGUUGUAAAGCACUUUCAGCGAGGAAGAACGCCUAGUGGUUAAUACCCACUAGGAAAGACAUCACUCGCAGAAGAAGCACCGGCUAACUCCGUGCCAGCAGCCGCGGUAAUACGGAGGGUGCAAGCGUUAAUCGGAAUUACUGGGCGUAAAGCGCGCGUAGGUGGCUUGAUAAGCCGGUUGUGAAAGCCCCGGGCUCAACCUGGGAACGGCAUCCGGAACUGUCAAGCUAGAGUGCAGGAGAGGAAGGUAGAAUUCCCGGUGUAGCGGUGAAAUGCGUAGAGAUCGGGAGGAAUACCAGUGGCGAAGGCGGCCUUCUGGACUGACACUGACACUGAGGUGCGAAAGCGUGGGUAGCAAACAGGAUUAGAUACCCUGGUAGUCCACGCCGUAAACGAUGUCGACCAGCCGUUGGGUGCCUAGCGCACUUUGUGGCGAAGUUAACGCGAUAAGUCGACCGCCUGGGGAGUACGGCCGCAAGGUUAAAACUCAAAUGAAUU
rnacentral:rRNA from 1 species